rnacentral:lncRNA from 1 species
GACCAACUUCCACUUCCACCUAUAACGUUGUUCCUACGGUUGCGGUUGUAUUUCCACAUUUCCCAUUUUACCCUUUCAUCAGAAUCCCCAUAUUCCGAAUUACUCCCAACUUCCAUUUCCUCUUCUACCCUCAUUAUAUUCUCAAUUUCCCAUAUUACCCCUGAUUCAGCUUCUUCCCCCUCACAGUCACACUCAUACUCUUCAUUUUCCAUUGUUGCUUCUUCUUUUUGUUCAGACGAAAUUGCCCUCACUUCAAUCCAAUCUUCCGUUUCCCAAUUUACCCUCAUUCCCGUU